rnacentral:rRNA from 1 species
GACGAACGCUGGCGGCGUGCUUAACACAUGCAAGUCGAACGGAAAGGCCCUGCUUUUGUGGGGUGCUCGAGUGGCGCACGGGUGAGUAACACGUGAGUAACCUGCCCUUGACUUUGGGAUAACUUCAGGAAACUGGGGCUAAUACCGGAUAGGAGCUCCUGCUGCAUGGUGGGGGUUGGAAAGUUUCGGCGGUUGGGGAUGGACUCGCGGCUUAUCAGCUUGUUGGUGGGGUAGUGGCUUACCAAGGCUUUGACGGGUAGCCGGCCUGAGAGGGUGACCGGCCACAUUGGGACUGAGAUACGGCCCAGACUCCUACGGGAGGCAGCAGUGGGGAAUAUUGCACAAUGGGCGGAAGCCUGAUGCAGCAACGUCGCGUGCGGGAUGACGGCCUUCGGGUUGUAAACCGCUUUCGCCUGUGACGAAGCGUGAGUGACGGUAAUGGGUAAAGAAGCACCGGCUAACUACGUG